rnacentral:rRNA from 1 species
GACGAACGCUGGCGGCGUGCUUAACACAUGCAAGUCGAACGGAAAGGCCCUGCUUUUGUGGGGUGCUCGAGUGGCGAACGGGUGAGUAACACGUGAGUAACCUGCCCUUGACUUUGGGAUAACUUCAGGAAACUGGGGCUAAUACCGGAUAGGAGCUCCUGCUGCAUGGUGGGGGUUGGAAAGUUUCGGCGGUUGGGGAUGGACUCGCGGCUUAUCAGCUUGUUGGUGGGGUAGUGGCUUACCAAGGCUUUGACGGGUAGCCGGCCUGAGAGGGUGACCGGCCACAUUGGGACUGAGGUACGGCCCAGACUGCUACGGGAGGCAGCAGUGGGGAAUAUUGCGCAAUGGGCGGAAGCCUGGUGCAGCAACGCCGCGUGCGGGAUGACGGCCUUCGGGUUGUAAACCGCUUUCGCCUGUGACGAAGCGUGAGUGACGGUAAUGGGUAAAGAAGCACCGGCUAACUACGUG